GUGAUUUCUGCCCAGUGCUCUG
rnacentral:siRNA from 1 species